rnacentral:lncRNA from 1 species
GAAUUUUUGUCAAAGUCAAAUAAAUGGCCCAAGUUUAUGUAAAAGAUGUGGUAUUCACUACUGCUUACAGAAUGAUCGACCUCUUUAAGAAAGAAUUUUCAGUGAAUAUAUUUAAUGAAAAUCUGUUAUGGUUUAGUUCCCAGGCUAAAAAUGUAACAAAAGCAGAGAGAGAGAAGAAAGGGGAAAAAGGGGGGGAGGGAAUUAAUUUUCUUAUAAGCUUAAUAAUGCAUUUCAGUUGUCGUAACUCUAAUUGAAAAAUAGCCGUUAUAUUAAACAUCUUUUGGUGGUGUGGCAGUAUAUUUCAGGAAAAUGAAAAAAAAAAAUGAAGAGAACUGUUAGAAAAAAUAUGAUACUGCUGAAAACUUAUGUUAUCCCUUACUGAAAAAUCAGCCUUGUUGCGAACUGUUCUGCCGCAAACACUGCGGUAAGGUUGCUGCAAAUAGUUUGCGGCAACUUCACCGCG